GCUGAUGUGGAAAAUACUAAUCCAUGCAUUAUAAGAUCUGACAUGAGUCAGCAACGUCUGAACUGUCUCACACCCAUCAGGACAGGACAGGCAGCAUUCCAUUCCAUGUACCUGUAGGUUAGGUGAUACAAAAAGGAAGAUGUGGAUCACUAACAUAAAAAUUGAUUGGUCAAAAUGAGAAUGACAUGAUAAUGGGCCAAUGGGGAAAAGUAGGUGGGAGGUGGGUACACUCUAGACUGACAGCGAACCGAAUGACACAAACAUGAACGAGAUGCGGUGUAGACAAGAAUAACAUUUCUGUCUUCAGUGGCAAACAAAAAUCCACAAUCGAACUUGGAAAUGCCAAGCCUUCUGGAGCAACCUGAAAGUGUCGUGAUGGAUCACUUUCCUAAGAAGAGGCCCCUGUCUGAAGGGAGCGAUGUGAACUCUCCCAGCAACACAGACAGUUCUUCUGAUAGAUGCCCUCCUGAGGAGGACGUGCCUGCUACAUCAAACAUAUCCCAGAGUGAGGAGAACGAGAACCACCAAUGUAAGAAGAGGCACCUAUCGCUGUCUGAGGAUCCUGUGUACCAUGAGGAUGAUGUGAACCCCGACACAAACGUUUUUUCGAACGGAGGGCCUCCUGAGGAGGAUAUGGAUGCUACAUCAACCAGAUCCCACAGUGAGGGGAUUGAGAUCCACCAGAGAGGAAGCCCCAGUCCUGUGAACAUCAACUUUCCAGACCAGUCAAUGGACCUCCCAAAUCAAGAAGGAAACGAAUUAUGUGAUACAAUUUACCUUUUACAAACAAAAGUUUGCAAUCAAAAGAUGAAUGCUAAAUAUACAUGGGCAUUCUUAAAGUCAACUGCUGAUGUGUUUGUUGCAAUUUUGGAACCUAACAAUAUAGAGAAUAUGGAAAACAAACCUCUUAUUAGUCAUACCGAAGAGUUACUUCUUGAGGAAGUGAAAAUAACGUUGGAAAACAAAGAGCAAUUGCAAAAUACAAAAUGUUCUAUGUAUUCGCUCAACGCUCCUUCGCAAAUUACAGGUCAUACAAUAACGGAUUUAGCAGAACUGAACAAGUAUGGCAUAACAACGAUUUUUACGGACUGUCCGACGGAAAACCAAAACAUCCCAAAUCAUUUUGAAAACGUUCCUGAAUUUCUUGAUAAGUACUACUCAUUACAAACAAAAGGUUGCAAACAAAAGUUUGAUACGCAACAUGCAUGGGCAUUUAUCGAGUCACCUUGUGGCGGAGAACCGGUUUUUGUUGGUUUAUUUAAAUUAGAAGAUUGCAAGAAGAUGUGCAAGGGCAAACCUUUAAAUAUUCAUACCGAAAAGUUACUUCUUGAGGAAGUAAAACAAAUAUUGAAAAACAAUGAGAAAUUGCGGAAUACUAAACUGUUUAUCUAUACGCUCAACUCUCCUUGUUUGCAAAAUUCAGGUCAUGAGUCAUGCAUGGAUUUACUGAUUAAGGAUUCAGCAGAACUGUACAAAUCUUAUAGUAUAAAAACUAUUGUUGGAUAUAGCAAAUGGUACGGUUCGACUGGACAGGUGACAACCUUUAUAGAUCCAUAUAUCAGCUCAUUCAAUCACUUUAAUUUGAUAAUCAGUAGUUCUAAUUAUGCGAACUAUUGUGAUGAAUUUGUAAUUUUUAACACUGAGCAUAACAAUAAGAAAAGCCGUGACUCUAAAUCUAAUUUUGAAGACAGCGCACUUCCCGAGCAACUUUAUAUUUUGAGUAAACAAUUUCUGCCCAAAAACAUUUCAGAAGUACCUUUCAGAUUGAAAAAGUUUAAAGACAUCCAUAAGCGUGUGACAAAUAAAUUUAUGUCAAUUAGCAAUUAUGAUAAAAAAAAUGUGAAAACUGAUAAGAAGAAAGAGAAAAGUCUUGACCUAGAUUUUUCCAUACCCCAUUUUGGAACUCUAAAUGAAUUCCAAGAAGUUGGAGAGUCUCUAGCUGAAAAAUUUGACUUGGUAAAACACAUUGGUAAUAACUUAGAUCAAUCUAAAGUAAAUUUCAUAAAAUGGUGGACUAAAACAAUUGCGGACGAAUAUACUACUUUUCUUCGAGAAGACAUUAAUAGACGACUUAGUGAAGAUAAACACAGAAUCGCAGUCCUCGAUCACAUCAGGAAUAACACUGCAGGAUAUUUACAGUUUUGUCACUUACCACUAAGCCCUUUCCACAAACUAUUUAAUUAAUACAUGCAGCAUAUUCAUUUGAGGUUGUGAGCUAAAGAUCAUUUUAUAUAUAUAUUUGAAUAAAUCAAAUUGUAUUGGUCAUACACAUGGUUAGCAUAUAUUAAUGUGAGUGUAGGGAAAUGCUUGUACUUCUAGUUCCGACUAUGCAGUAAUAUCUAACAAAUUCCCAACAACUACCUUAUACACACAAAGGUAAAGGGAUGAAUAGAAUAUGUACGCAUAAAUAUAUGGAUGAGUAAUGUGAGAGCGGCAUAGGCUUCGAUGCAACUGAUAGUAUAGAAUACACUAUAUACAUAUGAGAUGAGUAAUGUAGGAUAUGUAAACAUUAUUAAAGUGGCGUUAUUUAAAGUGACUAGUGAUACUCGGGAGAGGCAAAGGUCGAGAGCCAUGCGUCCUCCGAAACACAACCCAACCAAGCCGCACUGCUUCUUGACACAAUUUAACAGUCUGAUGGCCUUGAGAUAGGAGCUGUUUUUCAGUCUCUUGGACCCAGCUUUGAUGCACCUGUACUGACCUCGCCUUCUGGAUGAUAGCGGGGUGAACAGGCAGUGGCUCGGGUGGUUGUUGUCCUUGAUGAUUUUUUGGCCUUCCUGUAACAUUGGGUGCUUUAGCUGUCCUGCAGGGCAGGUAGUUUGCACCCAGUGAUGCGUUGUGCAGACCGCACUACCCUCUGGAGAGCCUUGCUGUUGAGGGCGGUGCAAUUGCCGUACCAGAUGGUGAUACAGCCCGACAGGAUGCUCUCGAUUGCGCAUCUAAAAGUUUUUGAGUGUUUUUGGUGACAACCCAAAUUUCUACAGCCUCCUGAGGUUGAAGAGGCGCUGUUGCGCCUUCUUCACCACCCUAUCUGUCUGUGUGGGUGGACCAUUUCAGUUUGUCCAUGAUGUGUACGCCGAGAAACUUAAAACAGACCCUCUGCUGUGGGAGAUCACACCUACUGACCCAAGGUGGUUGAGAAUGGUUAUGGGAGCUGGACACGCAGCGACUCAGACCCUCUGCUGUCAGAGAUCACGCCUACUGACCCAAGGUGGCUGAGAAUGGUUAUGGGAGCUGGACACGCAGCGACUCAGACCCUCUGCUGUCAGAGAUCACGCCUACUGACCCAAGGUGGCUAAGAAUGGUUAUGGGAGCAGGACACACAGCGACCCAGACCCUCUGCUGUGGGAGAUCACACCUACUGACCCAAGGUGGUUGAGAAUGUUUAUGGGAGCAGGACACGCAGCGACUCAGACCCUCUGCUGUGGGAGAUCACACCUACUGACCCAAGGUGGUUGAGAAUGGUUAUGGGGGCUGGAUAUCAUAAUGAUGUCUCCACUCCCCCAAUGGUGAAUUGCUGUACUCUAAACAUAUGCUUUAAUACUAAUAAAAAUAUAAUUGAUUUAAAAAAUUUAGUUUCCUCAUUUAACGCUGUAUGUGGAUUUUUUGUAUAUUCAGCUGUGGCCAAAAGUUUUCAAAAUGACACAAAUAUACAUUUUCACUAAGUCUGCUGCCUCAGUUUGUAUGAUGGCAAUUUGCAUAUACUCCAGAAUGUUAUGAAGAGUGAUCAGAUGAAUUGCAAUUAAUUGCAAAGUCCCUCUUUGCCAUGCAAAUGAACUGAAUCCCAAAAAACAUUUUCACUGCAUUUCAGCCCUGCCACAAAAGAACCAGCUGACAUCAUGUCAGUGAUUCUCUCAUUAACACAGGUGUGAGUGUUGACGAGGACAAGGCUGGAGAUCACUCUGUCAUGCUGAUUGAGUUCGAAUAACAGACUGGAAGCUUCAAAAGGAGGGUGGUGCUUGGAAUCAUUGUUCUUCCUUUGUCAACCAUGGUUACCUGCAAGGAAGCACGUGCCAUCAUCAUUGCUUUGCACAAAAAUGGCUUCACAGGCAAGGAAAUUGCUGCCAGUAAGAUUGCACCUAAAUCAACUAUUUAUCGGAUCAUCAAGAACUUCAAGGAAAACGGUUCAAUUGUUGUGAAGAAGGCUUUAGGGCGCCCAAGAAAGUCCAGCAAGCUUCAGGAGCAUCUCCUAAAGUUGAUUCAGCUGCGGGAUCGGGGCACCACCAGUACAGAGCUAUCUAUCAUUUUACUGAUUGAUAAAUACAAUAGGUCCUGGUAGGGGGGAAAAAAGUUACGUAAUCAAUACAAUUUUUUUCAAGUAGAAAGGAACAGUCAAGCUUCAGUAACUGUCAAAAGGGAAGUUCAAGAAAUAGUUUUUUGCUAAAAAGCUAUUUGUUUCUUUUUGACAAUUUUUAAAGCAAACUAUUACUUAUUAGUAUUUAUGCUGCAAUAGUUUGUGUUGGGGGCUAGGGAUAGUCUGUUAUAUUUGGAGUACUUCUCGUCUUAUCCGGUGUACUGUGUGAAUUUAAGUAUGCUCGCUCUAAUUCUCUCUUUCUCUUUCUUUCUUUCUCUCUGUCGGAGGACCUGAGCCCAAGGACCAUGCCUCAGGACUACCUGGCCUGAUGACUCCUUGCUGUCCCCAGUCCACCUGGUCAUGCUACUGCUCCAGUUUCAACUGUUCUGCCUGCGGCUAUGGAACCCUGACCUGUUUACUGGAUGUGCUACUUUGUCCCGGACCUGACUCUCUCUCUACUGCACCUGCUGUCUCUAACUCUGAAUGAUGGGCUAUGAAAAGCCAACUGACAUUUACUCCUGAGGUGCUGACCUGUUGCACCCUCUACAACCACUGUGAUUAUUAUUAUUUGGCCCUGCUGGUCAUCUAUGAACAUUUGAACAUCUUGGCCAUGUUCUGUUAUAAUCUCCACCCGGUACAGCCAGAAGAGGACUGGCCACCCCUCAUAGCCUGGUUCCUCUCUAGGUUUCUUCCUAGGUUCUGGCCUUUCUAGGGAGUUUUUCCUAGCCACCGUGCUUCUACACCUGCAUUCCUUGCUGUUUGGGGUUUUAGGCUGGGUUUCUGUACAACCCUUUGUGAAUACAUUUGAUUUAUUGAAUACACUUCGGCAUGUACUUCAAUGUUAUCAAGAAUUUAUUUGAAAAGCUAUUGAAAUAAAAACAGCUGCAUUGAAUAGAAUUUCACUAAACAAUUAUUAGUUACUAGUUAUUGGCAACAAGGUAAUAAAUACAUAAUUGAAAACUACUGAUAAAGAUUUAUUUUCUUUAUUAGUAGCAUUGUUAUUGGUAUAAGACUGGAGUGAGUGAGUAGUCGUGCUGUACUUCGCUCCGCGGGUAAUAUUACAUUUCAUUACAUUACAAUGGAACGAUUUGAUUAGUGUAAUGUUAGCUAGCUAGCUACAUAGUUGUCUUUGCUGUCUUUGUAUCAAGGAUAAAGGUGUAGCUAAAGGUGUAGCUUUGAGAAACUAACUUUGAGAAACUAACAAGGUUAGCUAGCCAGCUGUAUUCGUUCGCAGUUUUCCAAAUGGCGUCAACACCACAACACCACAGCCACUGCUAGCUAGCCAACUUUACCAACUAGCAGUACUGUGGAAACUAAAUACAUUACAACGGAACGAUUUGAUUAGUGUAAUGUUAGCUAGCUACAUAGUUGUCUUUGUAUCAAAGAUAAAGGUAAACGCAGCCACUGCUAGCUAGCCAACUCUACCAGCUAGCAGUACUGUAUCAUUUUUAGUCAAUAAGAUUUUUGCAAUGUUAGCUUAACUUUCUGAACUUUCGAGUUGUGUAGUCCACUUGUGUAGCUAGCAGGUCUGACUUUGUGUUAGCUAGCCAACGUUUAAUUACUUCUGCGUUAUGAAAGGAACUAGUCACGGACACGAAUGAUACAUUGGUAGUUUGUUGUAACCAAGUAUUGGUGCUAACCGCGUGUUAUUGGAUGCUAGCAUGCUAGUUAGCUAAGGCGUCAUAGGAUACGGUGCACUGGGUGGGUUUCACGGAAGAAGACUGUACCAAGUUAUCUAGCUGAAUAAACUAGGUUUGAGCCUAUUCCUGGAAACAUUGAACCACUGUAGUUUACAUCAAUUAUAAUUUCUAAAGUGGAAGUUGGAAAAGUUAUGUUUGAGUGUUUCAGUGAAUGGUUAGUGAGGGAGGCCCUGCUCUCUAACUUCCCCAGUUGUUUAGUUAAUUUUCAUUCCAAUCUCCUUUGCAUUAGCGUAGCCUCUCCUGUAGCCUGUCAACUAUGUGUCUGUCUAUCCCUGUUCUCUCCUCUCUGCACAGGCCACACAAACGCUUCACACCGCAUGGCCGCUGCCACUCUAACCUGGUGGUCCCAGCGCGCACGACCCCCUUGGAGUUGAAGGUCUCCGGCAGCCUCUGGAAUUGCCGGUCUGCGGCCAACAAGGCAGAGUUCAUCUCAGCCUAUGCUACCCUCCAGUCCCUCAACUUCUUGGCGCUGACGGAAACAUGGAUUACCACAGAAAACACUGCUACUCCUACUGCUCUCUCCUCGUCUGACCACGUGUUCUCGCAUACCCCGAGAGCAUCUGGUCAGCAGGGUGGUGGCACUGGAAUCCUCAUCUCUCCCAAGUGGACAUUCUCUCUUUCUCCCCUGACCCAUCUCCUCCUUUGAACUCCAUGCUGUCGAAGUCACUAGCCCAUUCAAGCUUAACAUCCUUAUCAUUUAUCGCCCUCCAGGUUCCCUUGGAGAGUUCAUCAAUGAGCUUGACGCCUUGAUAAGUUCCUUUCCUGAGGAUGGCUCACCCCUCACAAUUCUGGGUGACUUUAACCUCCCUACGUCUACCUUUGACUAAUUUCUCUCUGCCUCCUUCUUUCCACUCCUCUCCUCUUUUGACCUCACCCUCUCACCGUCCCCCCUACUCACAAGGCAGGCAAUACGCUUGACCUCAUCUUUACUAGAUGCUGUUCUUCCACUAAUCUCACUGCAACUCCCCUCCAAGUCUCCGACCACUACCUUGUAUCCUUUUCCCUCUCGCUCUCCUCCAACACUACUCACUCUGCCCCUACUCAGACGGUAUUGCGCCGUCGCAACCUUCGCUCUCUCUCUCCUGCUACUCUCACCUCUUCCAUCCUAUCAUCUCUUCCCUCUGCUCAAUCCUUCUCCAACCAAUCUCCUGAUUCUACCUCCUCAACCCUCCUCUCCUCCCUUUCUGCAUCCUUUGACUCUCUAUGUCCCCUUUCCUCCCAGCCGGCUCGGUCCUCCCCUCCUGCUCCGUGGCUUGACGACUCAUUGCGAGCUCACAGGACAGGGCUCCGGGCAGCCGAGCGGAAAUGGAGGAAAGCUAGCCUCCCUGCGGACCUGGCAUCUUUUCACUCCCUCCUCUCUACAUUUUCUUCCUCUGUUUCUGCUGCUGAAGCCACUUUCUACCACUCUAAAUUCCAAGCAUCUGCCUCUAACCCUAGGAAGCUCUUUGCCACCUUCUCCUCCCUCCUGAAUCCUCCUCCCCCUCCCCCCAUCCUCCCUCUCUGCGGAUGACUUCGUCAACCAAUUUUGAAAAGAUGGUUGACGACAUCCGAUCCUCGUUUGUUAAGUCAAACAACAGCGCUGGUCCUGCUCACAUUACCCUACCCUAUGCUUUGACCUCUUUCUCCCCUCUCUCUCCAGAUGAAAUCUUGCGACUUGUGACGGCCGGCCGCCCAACAACCUGCCCGCUUGACCCUAUCCCCUCCUCUCUUCUCCAGACCAUUUCCGGAGACCUUCUCCCUUACCUCACCUCGCUCAUCAACUCAUCCUUGAACGCUGGCUACGUCCCUUCUGUCUUCAAGAGAGCGAGAGUUGCACCCAUUCUCAAAAAACCUACACUCGAUCCCUCCGAUGUCAACAACUACAGACCAGUAUCCCUUCUUUCUUUUCUCUCCAAAACUCUUGAGCGUGCCGUCCUUGGCCAGCUCUCUUGCUAUCUCUCUCAGAAUGACCUUCUUGAUCCAAAUCAGUCAGGUUUCAAGACUGGUCAUUCAACUGAGACUGCUCUUCUCUGUGUCACGGAGGCUCUCCCCACUACUAAAGCUAACUCUCUCUCCUCUGCUCUCAUCCUUCUAGACCUAUCUGCUGCCUUUGAUACUGUGAACCAUCAGAUCCUCCUCUCCACCCUCUCCGAGUUGGGCAUCUCCGGCGUGGCUCACUCUUGGAUUGCGUCCUACCUGACAGGUCGCUCCUACCAGGUGGCGUGGUAGGAGCGAGGUUCUAGGCCCUCUCCUAUUCUCGCUAUACACCAAGUCACUUGGCUCUGUCAUAUCCUCACAUGGUCUCUCCUAUCAUUGCUACGCAGAUGACACACAAUUAAUCUUCUCCUUUCCACCUUCUGAUAACCAGGUGGCGAAUCGCAUCUCUGCAUGUCUGGCAGACAUAUCAGUGUGGAUGACGGAUCACCACCUCAAGCUGAACGUCGGAAAGACGGAGCUGCUCUUCCUCCCAGGGAAGGACUGCCCGUUCCAUGAUCUCGCCAUCACGGUUGACAACUCCAUUGUGUCCUCCUCCCAGAGUGCUAAGAGCCUUGGCGUGACCCUGGACAACAGCCUGUCAUUCUCCGCUAACAUCAAGGCGGUUCAUGCUCUACAACAUUCGCAGAGUACGACCCUGCCUCACACAGGAAGCGGCGCAGGUCCUAAUCCAGGCACUUGUCAUCUCCCGUCUGGAUUACUGCAACUCGCUGUUGGCGGGGCUCCCUACCUGUGCCAUUAAACCCCUACAACUCAUCCAGAACGCCGCAGCCCGUCUGGUGUUCAACCUUCCCAAGUUCUCUCACGUCACCCCGCUCCUCCGCACACUCCACUGGCUUCCAGUUGAAGCUCGCAUCUGCUACAAGACCAUGGUGCUUGCCUACGGAGCUGUGAGGGGAACGGCACCUCCGUACCUUCAGGCUCUGAUCAGUCCCUACACCCAAAGAAGGGCACUGCGUUCAUCCACCUCUGGCCUGCUCGCCUCCCUACCUCUGCAGAAGCACAGUUCCCGCUCAGCCCAGUCAAAACUGUUCGCUGCUCUGGGACCCCAAUGGUGGAACAAGCUCCCUCACGACGCCA
rnacentral:lncRNA from 1 species